rnacentral:lncRNA from 1 species
AAUUAUAAUUUCAUUCCUUCAUUUAGUACAAAAGAAACAGCCACAACCUAAACAUCACAACAUUCCAACUCCAUUAACCUUAAAUCACUACGUUCAACCACAUUGGGACCACCUCUUUAAACAUCAUCACUUCAAGCAAAAUACACAAAACAUAAGUAUGUUAACUACACUAAGAAAACCAGUCACUGCUACUAAUAAUUGGAUCUUUUUCUUCGAAGCUUUGAGUGCGUUUUCCAGAUCAUAAAUCUUCCCCCUUUGCCUCCCAAUAAUAACAUCCCUUUUGUCAUUAUUUUCUUUACUGCACCACUUGAAAUAGUUGCAACACAUCGCAUUACCAACUUCACUCUAUUAUUCAUCAACAACAAAAACUUCAAACACAAUGUUAAUUACUAACACAUAAAGAACAUAAGGUUUAUAUUCACAUUACCUUGUAGUUUCGACAACCCCAAAAAUAUCUUCCCG